rnacentral:rRNA from 1 species
UUGAUCAUGGCUCAGGACGAACGCUGGCGGCGUGCUUAACACAUGCAAGUCACGGGGGCCCGCAAGGGUAACCGGCGAACGGGUGCGUAACACGUAAGCGACCUGCCGAUCUGCGGGGGAUAGCCGGCCCAACGGCCGGGUAAUACCGCAUACGCUCUCUGGGUUACAUGGCUUGGGGAGGAAACCUCCGGGGCGGAUCGAGGGGCUUGCGGCCUAUCAGCUAGUUGGUGAGGUAACGGCUCACCAAGGCGGUGACGGGUAGCUGGUCUGAGAGGAUGGCCAGCCACAUUGGGACUGAGAGACGGCCCAGACUCCUACGGGAGGCAGCAGUGGGGAAUCUUGCGCAAUGGGCGAAAGCCUGACGCAGCGACGCCGCGUGGGGGAUGACGCAUUUCGGUGUGUAAACCCCUGUUGCCCGGGACGAAUCGCCUUUUUUGAGAGGCUUGACGGUACCGGGUGAGGAAGCACCGGCUAACUCUGUGCCAGCAGCCGCGGUAAUACAGAGGGUGCGAGCGUUGUCCGGAAUCACUGGGCGUAAAGGGCGCGUAGGUGGUCCGAUAAGAGGGCGGUGAAAGCCCGGCGCUUAACGCCGGGUCGGCCGUGCCGACUGUCGGACUGGAGCACUGUAGAGGCAGGUAGAAUU